rnacentral:misc_RNA from 1 species
CUACUCUCAAGCACGGCUUGUUUGUUGAGCUAUUUGUCCCAGUGGGACAGGCUUGAAAUGCAGUGGCGGAUGCUGGGUUUGGUGCCCGAGUGUAUCGAGCUUUGUCACACGCUCUGGUGGCCCAGCUGGCAUUCUGUCCAAAAAUUUUUAAUAUAUAUAUAUAUAUAUCUG